rnacentral:rRNA from 1 species
UACGUAGGGGCUAGCGUUGUCCGGAAUCAUUGGGCGUAAAGAGCGCGUAGGCGGCCCGGUAAGUCCGCUGUAAAAGUCAAAGGCUCAACCUUUGAAGGUCAGUGGAUACUGCCGGGCUAGAGUCCGGAAGAGGCGAGUGGAAUCCUGGUGGUAGCGGUGGAAUGCGCAGGAUAUCAGGAGGAACACCAAUGGCGAAGGCAGCUCGCUGGGACGGUACUGACGCUAAGGCGCGAAAGCG